UGCCAGCCGCCGCGGUAACACGGGGGGCGCAAGCGUUAUUCGGAUUUAUUGGGUUUAAAGGGUGCGUAGGCGGUCCGUUAAGUCAGUGGUGAAAUCCCUCAGCUCAACUGAGGAACUGCCAUUGAUACUGGCGGACUUGAGUACGGACGAGGUAGGCGGAAUUUAUGGUGUAGCGGUGAAAUGCAUAGAUACCAUAAAGAACACUGAUAGCGAAGGCAGCUUACUAGACCGUAACUGACGCUCAGGCACGAAAGCGUGGGGAGCGAACAGGAUUAGAUA
rnacentral:rRNA from 1 species